rnacentral:rRNA from 1 species
GACAGAGGGUGCAAACGUUGCUCGGAAUUACUGGGCGUAAAGCGCGUGUAGGCGGGCUCAUAAGUCAGAUGUGAAAGCCCCGGGCUCAACCUGGGAACUGCAUUUGAAACUGCGAGUCUUGAGUGCCGGAGAGGGUAGUGGAAUUCCUGGUGUAGAGGUGAAAUUCGUAGAUAUCAGGAGGAACACCGGUGGCGAAGGCGGCUACCUGGACGGUUACUGACGCUGAGACGCGAAAGCGUGGGGAGCAAACAGG